CGCAUUAUUACCAUCAUUCCUUAGGAAUGGUGGGUUUUGGCGUAUGCGCUAUUAAUUCAGAAACCCGCCCAAAGGCGGGUUUC
rnacentral:sRNA from 1 species